GACGAACGCUGGCGGCGUGCCUAACACAUGCAAGUCGAACGAGCGAGCGAGAGCUUGCUUUCUUGAGCGAGUGGCGCACGGGUGAGUAAAGCGUGAGGAACCUGCCUCUAAGAGGGGGACAACAGUUGGAAAAGACUGAUAAUACCGCAUAAGAUAACGGUGCCGCAUGGCACCGAGGGAAAAGGAGCAAUCUGCUUUGAGAUGGCCGCGCGUCCGAUUAGCUAGAUGGAGAGGUAACGGGCCACCAAGGCGACGAUCGGUAGCCGGACUGUGAGGUUGAACGGACACAUUGAGAGUGAGACGCAGCCGAGACUCCUACGGGAUGGGGGAGUGGGGAAUAGUGCAAAGUGGGGGGAACCAUGAAGGACCGAGGCCGGGUAGAGGAUGAAAGUCUGCAGGUUGUAAAGUGCUGUUAUUUGGGAAGGUAAUGACGGUACCCAACAAGAAAGUGACGGCUAACUACGUG
rnacentral:rRNA from 1 species